rnacentral:lncRNA from 1 species
UCAUACAAAUGCAAACAUUUAGUUGAAAUUGCUUGGCAACUCUUUUCCUGCAUGUAUACGCACGAAUUAAAUAAUGGUUUUAAACUAUUUGGUAUCACCGACACUCUCAAUAUUUGUUUUAGAAUUAGGUGAAGUUAAAAUAAUAUUUGAAUGAAAUUGCUUCAUAAUUGUUUACUACAUCUGUUCAAACAAAGGCAAUGCCUUAAGAGUAGGAAGAUCAAAUUUUUCUUGACAAGACACUGUUUGCUUAAUGAAUAAGUGUGCAGAAUAUGUGUGUGGAUUAGUAGAAAAGAGAUUUUGGCAUAGGUUAUAAUCUAAUCUAUUACUAAAUUUUCUUGAUUUUGGACUUGGUCAAUAGAUAUCUGUAUGUCCUAUCUUGAAUAUAUACUUGCAUGCAUAACGAUGCAGCGCCACACAUCAUCAUUCAUCACAUCCUUGUUUGUUUGUUUGCAUUGUCCUGUCGUAAGUUAUUGUUUACAGUCUUCUCUUCCUUUUCCGUGCUCUUGUUAUUUUGUAAUUAAAAUCCAUUUCGUUUUAUAGUGUUUGGUUGAAAUGGACGAAAGUGCUUCUGGGGUUGGAGAAGUCCCUUUAGGAAGCUUCUGUAGGAAGUCUUGCCUGUUGAAGUACAGGAAACACUUGGCUUUCUAACUCAACUCUCAAGUGUUUCCCUUCAGGUUGCUGACGUCACACAUGCAUUGCAAUUAAAAUCCAUUUCGCUUUAUAAUAUGCUUACUUUACUUUGAUAUAAUUACUUGUUGAAAUUAAAAUCCAUAUCAUGGAGGUGUUGCUAGUGGUGGUCUUCGUAAUUGAUACCAUGCAUUGCAAGAACAGCAGUUGCUGUUGGAGUGGAUGGAAUUUUCGUGGAGGUAAAGUAAUUUGCUGUUGGAGUGGUGAAUACAUUGUCAUUCUCAUUUAUCUGCAACUAUGUGUAUGAAAAUUUGAUGGUCUUUCUUAGCUGUCAAUUGUAUGGCCACAUAAAGUUGCCCAUACAAAAAUUUCUCAAGGUAUUAUGCAUUCAUACAUAUUACACACACACACAUACGUAUCUACACACUUGCAUACAGAUUUGGCAUGCUAAGAUUUUCCUUUGGGUGCCUAGGUACGUGACGAUCCUUCCAAUGCGCCAGUUGACGGUCCAACUCAAUGGGUGAGUCAUGCUUUUUAGUUUUCGUGUGCAUUUUAGAUUAGAUGG